rnacentral:lncRNA from 1 species
GGCUCAGCUCCGAUAUGGGGGGGGUCCGAACCGAUAUAGAGGGCGGGGGGGGGAGGAUCCACUUCUUCGAUUGGAUGGGGGGGGGGCGGCGUUUGAUGGCGGGGGGGCCCCGCGUCCGCUCCCUUAGGGCCGUGGCGACGGCGUGCGCUCAUUGGGGCGCAUUGCCUGCGGGGCUCCGUCCGCCGCUGCUCGGGACUCCGCUGACGUCACUGCCACGUCCCGGCGCGCCGCGUGACGUCAUCUCCGCGCGACGACCCGCGAGCACCGCCCCCUGCUC